CCUACGGGAGGCAGCAGUGAGGAAUAUUGGUCAAUGGGCUUACGCCUGAACCAGCCAAGUCGCGUGAGGGAAGACUGCCCUAUGGGUUGUAAACCUCUUUUGUCAGGGAGCAAUUGGCGCUACGUGUAGCGUUAUCGAUAGUACCUGAAGAAAAAGCAUCGGCUAACUCCGUGCCAGCAGCCGCGGUAAUACGGAGGAUGCGAGCGUUAUCCGGAUUUUUUGGGUUUAAAGGGUGCGUAGGCGGAAGUCCAAGUCAGCGGUAAAAUCGCGGGGCUCAACCUCGCUCCGCCGUUGAUACUGGCGUUCUUGAGUGGGCGAGAAGUAUGCGGAAUGCGUGGUGUAGCGGUGAAAUGCAUAGAUAUCACGCAGAACUCCGAUUGCGAAGGCAGCAUACCGGCGCCCAACUGACGCUGAAGCACGAAAGCGUGGGUAUCGAACAGGAUUAGAUACCCCUGUAGUC
rnacentral:rRNA from 1 species